rnacentral:rRNA from 1 species
CAGCCCUAAACGAUGCGCGUUAGGUGUAUCGGUGACCACGAGUCACCGAGGUGCCGAAGGGAAACCGUGAAACGUGCCGCCUGGGAAGUACGGUCGCAAGGCUGAAACUUAAAGGAAUUGGCGGGGGAGCACCACGACGGGUGGAGCCUGCGGUUUAAUUGGACUCAACGCCGGGAAGCUCACCGGAUAAGACAGCGGAAUGAUUGCUGGGCUGAAGACCCUGCAUGACCAGCUGAGAGGAGGUGCAUGGCGUAGUCGUGU